CGUCGCUUAAAAUGUUUCCUGUGGCGCGGGAUGGAGAAGAGCACAUGAAGUUUUCAAAAUGAAGCAAAAUGAAUCUUUGUGAUGAAGAUCAAUGUUAUUAAACACAUCUGUGAUGCGAAUAUUAAAGUUUGCAAUCUGAGUUUGAUUUAUAAGCUGCGACAUGACGCAAAAACAGAGUUUAGAGGUUCGGUUCGUGGCUGAUGAAGAUGUUUUGGAUCAUAUCGUGGAGAAACAACAAGAUGUUAAAGCAGCUCAUGGGGGUGUACAAACCCUGGUCACCCUGAAGACUCCUCAGAAAUCAAAGACAUCUGCUGAGGAGGAUGACGAGGAGAAGGAUGAAGAUGCCUUGAAUGAGCAGAACUAUGUGGAAGCUCUCUGCACCGACACACAAGAUGAGAGUGAAAGUGGAGCGUCAGCCGGCGGAUCUUCUGUCUUCACCUUUCAGACCAUCAAACGAGCCAAAAAGAUGUCUCGGAUAGCAUCUGAAUGGGCCCGGACGCCUGGGAAAAGCGUGACGUUCUGCUCAUCAGACACAAAUGAGGAUUCUGCAAGCCCGACCCGCGCCACAAAAACCAAUCAGAACAAGACUCCUCAGAAGGGAAAGAAAGUGCAGUUCAUCUCAACGACGCCACACAGACUGCGCAAACGCAUGUCAGCACCAACACUGAGAUCAGAGAGUGAAAGUGAUCUCUCACCGUCCAACUCUGAGGAAGAUGAAGAAGACGAGUCAAAGCAAGAUGUCCAGCCCAAAACACCCAGCAAAACCACAGCCAGCGCCCUCUAUAAAACACCCAGCAAGAAGAACAAGAAACUACCUGAGUCUGAUUUGGUGGGUGAAUAUUUUGAGGCUCACAGCAGCUCUAAAGUUCUGACGUCUGAUCGGACUCUGCAGAAACUCCAGACACCUAAACUGGAUCGGGAGACUCUGCUCAGUCUCUUGGCUGAAAAGCCUCAGUGUUACGCUGAAGAAAUAAAACGGCUGAACGAGAAACACGAGAAGAACUUCAACAAGUGGAUGCUGCAGCUACACAUGGGUUUUAAUAUCCUGAUCUUCGGUCUGGGGUCAAAGAAGCUUCUACUGGAGAAGUUCCGCACGUCUAUGCUGUCAGACUUGGAUCAUCUGGUGGUCAACGGCUUUUUUCCCAGCAUGACCCUCAAAUCGAUAUUAAACAGCAUCACUGGCGAUAUUCUGGAGCAUGAUGGGACGUUCCGUAACCCGAGCGACCAGAUCGACUUCAUUGUGAACACUCUUAAAGAAGACCCAGACAAUCACAUCUUUCUGAUCAUUAAUAACAUUGACGGGGCCAUGCUGAGAGGUGACAGAAACCAGCAGGCACUGGGACAGCUGGCGUCCAUUCCCAACAUGCACAUGGUGGCUUCCAUCGACCACAUCAACGCUCCGCUCAUCUGGGAUCAAGCAAAGAUGAGUUUGUUUAACUGGCUGUGGUACGAGACCACCACAUACAUGCCCUACACUGAAGAGACCUCGUAUGAGAACUCGCUGCUCGUCCAGCAGACGGGAGCGCUCGCGCUGAGCUCACUGACACACGUCCUGCGCAGCCUCACGCCAAACGCCAGGUAACACACACACACACACACACGUGUCCUGCGCAGCCUCACACCAUACGCCAGGUAACACACACACACGUCCUGCGCAGCCAAACGCCAGGUAACACACACACACACACGUGUCCUGCGCAGCCUCACACCAAACGCCAGGUAACACACACACACACACGUCCUGCGCAGCCAAACGCCAGGUAACACACACACACACACACGUCCUGCGCAGCCUCACGCCAAACGCCAGGGGGAUCUUUAGAUUACUGGCAGAGUUUCAGUUGGAGAACAAAGAUAAUCCUGCAUACACAGGUUUGUCUUUCCAGGAUUUUUACCAGCGCUGUCGUGAAUCUUUCCUGGUGAAC